GGGGGUGAUGGGCUUCGAUAGUAUUUUGAAAUUAAAUAUGCAAGCCGAGGAUGUCUCGUAACCUCGAAAUAAAAUCCUCGAGACAAGGCAAAAAUAACUGCCAAAACAAAUUUAACUCCCGCUUUAGCUUUUGCUUAAACGGGUUUUAUCCUCUAACGCUUUAUGCGACGGAGGACAUCGGCUGUCUGAUGUCUAAUACGACAAUACCGGUGUCAACCCAUUAGGCUUUAACCCGUGGACUUCUUCGCUCCGGGUGGAAACUACAGAAGAAACAGAGAGCUUCUUAUUUUGAUUGCUUUGAGAGAACUCUCUGAAAAAACCAAAACAAUCUAAGCUUGUAGUAUUAUUUAAUUUUUUAAAUUCUAGAUGCGGGUUCAACUCCCGCCAUCUCCAUAA
rnacentral:tmRNA from 1 species